GAAUGAAUGAAAAGUGGUAUCCAAUCUGUGAUAUUAUUGGGGACCUGAUUAUGGUUCAGAACGAUCUAUAAAACAUAACUGACUACUAAAAUCAGAUUGUCAAAAUGUCCCUCCACUGCAGCAACAUCCAUCUACCAAGAGGAAGAGGAAAACGAUCGUUGUCUGAGAUCCUAACCAGGACAACAAGGACAUCACGGAGGAGAUCAUAUCAGUAGCUGGCAGGAGUCGGAAGCCCACUCUGCCAGUGGGAAAUGUCUUUUCCGUCCCUAUGCCUCUGCAGUUACCAGCAGAUGAUAAGAUUUAUUUGGGAUCGAAUUUCGGGGGACGACGGCUGAACUGGAAGAACGGCUGCGAUGGAGAAACUAGCGCUAGAGCCACAUCCGGAGCAUCAGUAAAACUCGACGCAGUGCCAGACUCGACUACAAACAAGCCUGCGCUAUCAGAGGAGGAAAUGGAGAAACGCUCUAAAUCCAUUAUUGAGGAGUUUCUACACAUAAAUGAUUACAAAGAGGCCUCGCAUUGCGUGGAGGAACUGGACCAGGGCGGGAUGCUGGACGUUGUUGUUCGGAGCCAAAAGGAAGUGGAGGUCUUAUGGAGGGACUCUAAACUGAGCUGGGCUGAUUUUCUUCCUGAAACCGUGGAUGGGAACAACUUCAUUACUGAGCAGCCCUGAUGAAGUCUGAUGACCUGAAGAGGGUGGAGCUGAGACUUCAGACAGCAGACGGACUUCUGAGGAGGAACAUCAGCACCACACGAGAGGUGGCAGCAGGAUGGGGGCAGGUCAUGACGUGGAAAGGAAACUCUCUGCUUGCAGGCUUCCUGUGACGUAGCUUCCUGUGUUUGACUGUGUUUUUAAAUAAACUUUACUAUUUAUCUCUC